AGCAGCCGCGGUAAUUCCAGCUCCAAUAGCGUAUAUUAAAGUUGUUGCAGUUAAAAGCUCGUAGCUGAAUUUCGGGAUUGACACAUCGGUCGUGCCUUAAGGGGUAUGAACUGGUGUAGUCAAUUUCUCACCUUCUGGAGAACCGCGAUGCCCUUAAUUGGGUGUCACGGGGAACCAGGACCUUUACUUGAAAAAUUAGAGUGUUUAAAGCAGGCAUUUUGCUUGAAUACAUUAGCAUGGAAUAAUAAAAUAGGACGGCAUGAUUCUAUUUUGUUGGUUUCUAGGAUCACCGCAAUGAUUAAUAGGGAUAGUUGGGGGCAUUAGUAUUCAAUUGUCAGAGGUGAAAUUCUUGGAUUUAUUGAAGACUAACUACUGCGAAAGCAUUUGCCAAGGAUGUUUCAUUAAUCAAGAACGAAAGUUAGGGGAUCGAAGACGAUCAGAUACCGUCGUAGUCUUAACCAUAAACUAUGCCGACUAGGGGAUCGGAUGAUGUUAAUUUUUUUAAUGACUCAUUCGGCGC
rnacentral:rRNA from 1 species